rnacentral:rRNA from 1 species
AUUGAACGCUGGCGGCAUGCUUUACACAUGCAAGUCGAACGGUAACAGGCCGCAAGGUGCUGACGAGUGGCGAACGGGUGAGUAAUGCAUCGGAACGUGCCCAGUCGUGGGGGAUAACUACUCGAAAGAGUAGCUAAUACCGCAUACGAUCUAUGGAUGAAAGCGGGGGACCGUAAGGCCUCGCGCGAUUGGAGCGGCCGAUGUCAGAUUAGGUAGUUGGUGGGGUAAAGGCUCACCAAGCCAACGAUCUGUAGCUGGUCUGAGAGGACGACCAGCCACACUGGGACUGAGACACGGCCCAGACUCCUACGGGUGGCAGCAGUGGGGAAUUUUGGACAAUGGGCGCAAGCCUGAUCCAGCAAUGCCGCGUGCAGGAAGAAGGCCUUCGGGUUGUAAACUGCUUUUGUACGGAACGAAACGGCUCUGGUUAAUACCCGGGGCUAAUGACGGUACCGUAAGAAUAAGCACCGGCUAACUACGUG